rnacentral:rRNA from 1 species
CGUUGAUCCUGCGAGAGACUGCUGCUAUUUGGAUUCGCCUAAGCCAUGCAAGUCGGGUGUCCGCAAGGAUAACCGGCACAAGGCUCAGUAACACGUCGAUAAUCUGCCCUUAGGUCUAUGCGAACCUCGGGAAACUGAGGCUAAACUUGAUAGGGGUUAUGAACUGGAAUGUUCUUUCCCUGAACUAAGGAUGAGUCGGCGGCAGAUUAGGUAGAUGGAGAGGUAACGGCUCACCAUGCCUAAGAUCUGUACGGGCCAUGAGAGUGGUCGCCCGGAGAGGGAUACUGAGAUACUCAUCCCAGCCCUACGGGGUGCAGCAGGCGCGGAAACUUUACAAUGCACGCAAGUGUGAUAAGGGAAUCCAAAGUGCUUACGCUUUGCGUAGGCUUUUGCCAAGUCUAAACAGCUUGGAGAAUAAGUGGUGGGUAAGACUGGUGCCAGCAGCCGCGGUAACCCCAGCGCCACGAGUGGGAGUCGCUUUUAUUGGGCCUAAAGCGUCCGUAGCCAGUUUUGUAAGUCUUUUGUGAAAUUGUUAGGCUUAACCUGACAGCGUGCAAGAGAUACUGCAAUUCUAGAGACCGGGAGGAGUAUGGGGUAUUCCAUGGGGAACGGUAAAAUGUAAUAAUCCAUGGAGGACCUCCAGUGGCGAAGGCGCCAUACUAGAACGGAUCUGACGGUGAGGGACGAAGGCCAGGGGAGCAAAACGGAUUAGAUACCCGAGUAGUCCUGGCAGUAAACUCUGUGUGCUAGGUGUUGCAUUUUCUUGUGAACGUGCAGUAUCGAAGUGAAGACAUUAAGCACACCGCCUGGGUAGUACGGUCGCAAGGCUGAAACUUAAAGGAAUUGGCGGGGGAGCACUACAAGGGGUGCAGCGUGCGGUUUAAUCGAACUCUACGCCGAGAAUCUCACCAGGGGCGACUGCAGAAUGAAGAUCAAGCCGAUGACUUUAUCAGACGAGCAGAGAGGUAGUGCAUGGCCGUCGUCAGCUCGUGCCGCAAGGUGUCCUGUUAAGUCAGGCAACGAGCAAGAUCUGCGUCUACUAUUGCCAGCAGGAGGGUAACCUCGGCUGGGCACAUUGUAGAGACUGCCUUGGAAACAAGGAGGAAGGUGCAGGCGACGAUAGGUCUGUAUGCUCCGAAUCUCCUGGGCUACACGCGCGCGACAAUGGAUAGGACAAUGGGCUGCAACACCGAAAGGUGAAGCUAAUCCUCUAAACCUAUUCUUAGUCUAGGUUGAGGAUUGUAACUCAUCCUCAUGACACUGGAAUCCCUAGUAAUCAGAAGUCAUCAUCUUCUGGUGAAUAUGUCCCUGCUCCUUGCACACACCGCCCGUCAAACCAACCGAGCAUAAUUUAGAUGAGGCCGUGCUUAAUUGGUACGUUCGAAUCUAAGUUAAGUGAGGUGGGUUAAGUCGUCACAAGGUA